rnacentral:snoRNA from 1 species
AUUCCAUGAUGGGGACAUUUUAGGAUGUAGUCUUGAAAGCGCUCUCAUGCCUCUGGAACGGAUUCAUUAUGUUGUUGCUGAAAACUUGUAAUCUUCCAUGGAGAGC